AAUGAACGUUGGCGGCGUGGAUUAGGCAUGCAAGUCGUUCGUCCCCUCGGGGACGAGGCGCAAGGGUGAGUAAGGCGACGGCAACCCACCCCCCGGACGGGGACAGCCGCGGGAAACCGCGGGUAAUCCCCGGCGACGUCGGCGGGAGGCAUCUCCCACCGACCAAAGGUGCGAGUCCGCCGGGGGACGGGCCGUCGUGGUAUCAGCUCGUUGGCGGGGUAACGGCCCACCAAGGCUGCGACGCCUACCGGGCGUGCGAGCGUGGCCCGGCACACUGGGACUGAGACACUGCCCAGACACCUACGGGUGGCUGCAGUCGAGAAUCUUCGGCAAUGGGCGCAAGCCUGACCGAGCGACGCCGCGUGGAGGAUGAAGGCCUUCGGGUUGUAAACUCCUGUCGAGGGGGAACAAGGGGGCGCGAAGAGCGUCCCUUGAGUGAUCCCUGGAGGAAGCACGGGCUAAGUUCGUGCCAGCAGCCGCCGUAAUAC
rnacentral:rRNA from 1 species